rnacentral:rRNA from 1 species
CGUGCUAAGGUAGCAUAAUAAUUUGCCUUCUAAUUAAUGGCUAGUAUGAAUGGACACACGAAAAUUAAACUGUCUCAAAAAAUUUUAUAAAACUUAGUCUUUAAGUGCAGAAACUUAAAUAAAACUAAAGGACAAGAAGACCCUGUAGAGCCUAAAAUUACUAAUUUUUUAAGCAAAAUUUAUUUAAAUCUUCUAUAAAACACAAAUUUUUAGUUGGGGCAACUAGAACAUAUCCAAAUCUAUUCUAUAACAUCAGGUUAACAUACCUUUUAAUUGAUCCAUUAUUUAUGAUUAUUCGCAUAGGCUACCUCAGGGAUAACAGACUAAUCCUUC